GAUGAACGCUGGCGGCGUGCCUAAUACAUGCAAGUCGAGCGAACGGACGAGAAGCUUGCUUCUCUGAUGUUAGCGGCGGACGGGUGAGUAACACGUGGAUAACCUACCUAUAAGACUGGGAUAACUUCGGGAAACCGGAGCUAAUACCGGAUAAUAUUUUGAACCGCAUGGUUCAAAAGUGAAAGACGGUCUUGCUGUCACUUAUAGAUGGAUCCGCGCUGCAUUAGCUAGUUGGUAAGGUAACGGCUUACCAAGGCAACGAUGCAUAGCCGACCUGAGAGGGUGAUCGGACACACUGGAACUGAGACACGGUCCAGACUCCUACGGGAGGCAGCAGUAGGGAAUCGUCCGCAAUGGGCGAAAGCCUGACGGAGCAACGCCGCGUGAGUGAUGAAGGUCUUAGGAUCGGAAAACUCUGUUAUUAGGGAAGAACAUAUGUGUAAGUAACUGUGCACAUCUUGACGGUACCUAAUCAGAAAGCCACGGCUAACUACGUG
rnacentral:rRNA from 1 species